rnacentral:lncRNA from 1 species
UUGUCUGCAAUAUACAUGAAAGAGUCAGUGAGCUUUAAUUGUGCCCUCUCUUUAGGUCUGAGCUUGAACUGCUUUUGGAAUGGGAUGGACGUGGUUCAGCUGGGAAGAGUCUGGCAACAACAGUGUCAGCAGUCUGAUGUGUAGAAGUUCAUCUGAGUCCUGUGGCCUGAUCUGCCCAACAAAGUCUGGAAAUUCUCUCACAUACCCUGGCAUGGUGGAAGAAGGGAAAGCAUCACCUCUUUCACAUUGCUGUGGACUUGAUGACUACUGUAAUACGUAUCAAGAUGCUUCAACAGAAUUACUGGAUUUAAACUUUUACAGUCUUAUAUCUUCCAUACUCCCUGAAACUCCUACACAAGAAGACCAAAGUAGGUGUAGAAGUUUCACCAGAUCAGAACUUUCCAUCUACACCACUGGUUGCAUUUCAUGUGAGGCUCAGUGGAAUCUGUGCCUUAGUACCAGAAUUCUCACUGGAAUAGAUAAAAUAUAGUAACUGAAAAAGUAUUAUGCUUUCCUUCUACAAUCUUAGAAAAAUAUAUUAUUCCGCUUAAAGUGCUUUAAAGUCCACUUCAGUAGUUUAGCCUUAUCAAAGUUCUUUAAAGUUAUUAGAGAUAUGUCACUUUUUAAGAAGAAAUUUAGGCAACGCCUUUAUAACUAUUUAAUGUUUGGUGCUAAUGGAAGGUGAUGGACUGGUGAGCUAAGAGAGUGAAUCCUCCUUUUAGCCCAAAGAAAAUGCUGACAGCAGCACAUGCUCCUCUGAAGGAUGAUGCCAGUUUGCCUUUGCUCUAACCUAACAGAUUGGUCCAGGUUCUGAGCUCAGCUGCACAAAUAAUAAUACAGCAGGGAAUUGCCUCAGGGAAUGAUAGUCGGAGUAUGCAUUGCUACAAUUUUGAAACCACUGUCAGUGCAGAGCUACACAAAAUUAUUAGGAAGAUUUUGAACUUAUGAAAAUAUUUUCCUAUUGAGGGUCAAACCUUGGAGAAAGUUGCCCAUAGAUGUUACGCUGCCUCAACACUGUGGAUUUUCAAAGUUUAGCAGAACUGACCUGAGCAAUCUCUAUAACUUCCAAGUUGGAUCUCCCUCCAAUGCUGGACCUGCUUUAAAUGGAGGUUUGAAGAAGGUGACCUUCAAAUGUUCCUUCCAACCUAAAUUAUUCUAUGAUUCUUAUUUACUAGUUUCAGUUUGUCUGACCUUACAUUCAACACAAUUGUUAUGAAAUCAAUAAGUUAUGUGCGAUCUGUGACAUUCAUCUCAUUUAGAAAAGGAAAUGAUUCCAAACUUCUAUUUAUAAUUUCAGUGGUCACUUCUUAUCUAUUCUAGCUGAAGUUUACCUGCCUGUUGCAUACCAAUUACACAUUUAUUAUAACAGUUGUCAUUAAUCCUCAUUUACAACAAAUGUCUGCAGUUCCUUUUGGACUGCCAUUCUUUUCCUGCUUUUAGAAUUAGUGUACUGGGUGCGCUCUGCUGAGAGCCGUAGGAGCUCCAUUCCG